GACUCUCGGCAACGGAUAUCUCGGCUCUUGUCACGAUAAAGAACGUAGCGAAAUGCGAUACUUAGUGUGAAUUGCAGAAUCCCGUGAAUCAUCGAGUUUUUGAACGCAGUUUGCGCCCGAGGCCUCGGUCGAGGGCACGUUUGUCUGGGCGUCG
rnacentral:rRNA from 1 species